rnacentral:rRNA from 1 species
UAGGACUUGUGUGCCAGCCGCCGCGGUAAUACGGAGGAUGCGAGCGUUAUCCGGAUUUAUUGGGUUUAAAGGGAGCGCAGACGGGUCGUUAAGUCAGCUGUGAAAGUUUGGGGCUCAACCUUAAAAUUGCAGUUGAUACUGGCGUCCUUGAGUGCGGUUGAGGUGUGCGGAAUUCGUGGUGUAGCGGUGAAAUGCUUAGAUAUCACGAAGAACUCCGAUUGCGAAGGCAGCACACUAAUCCGUAACUGACGUUCAUGCUCGAAAGUGUGGGUAUCAAACAGG